GAAGGAGGAAAUUUUGGCGGUGGUAACUAUGGUGGUGGUGGGAACUAUAGUGAUUUUGGAAAUUAUAGUGGACAACAGCAAUCAAAUUAUGGACCCAUGAAAGGGGGCAGUUUUGGUGGAAGACACUCGGGCAGUCCCUAUGGUGGUGGUUAUGGAUCUGGUGGUGGAAGUGGUGGAUAUGGUAGCAGAAGGUUCUAAAAACAGCAAAAAAGGGCUACAGU
rnacentral:lncRNA from 10 species